rnacentral:rRNA from 1 species
AACGAACGCUGGCGGCAUGCCUAACACAUGCAAGUCGAACGAGACCUUCGGGUCUAGUGGCGCACGGGUGCGUAACGCGUGGGAACCUGCCCUUAGGUUCGGAAUAACUCCCCGAAAGGGGUGCUAAUACCGGAUAAUGUCUUCGGACCAAAGAUUUAUCGCCUUUGGAUGGGCCCGCGUUGGAUUAGCUAGUUGGUAGGGUAAAAGCCUACCAAGGCGACGAUCCAUAGCUGGUCUGAGAGGAUGAUCAGCCACACUGGGACUGAGACACGGCCCAGACUCCUACGGGAGGCAGCAGUGGGGAAUAUUGGACAAUGGGCGAAAGCCUGAUCCAGCAAUGCCGCGUGAGUGAUGAAGGCAUUAGGGUAGUAAAGCUCUUUUAACCGGGAUGAUAAUGACAGUACCGGGAGAAUAAGCUCCGGCUAACUCCGUG